UACGGUAGGGUGCAAGCGUUAAUCGGAAUUACUGGGCGUAAAGCGUGCGCAGGCGGUUUUGUAAGACAGGCGUGAAAUCCCCGGGACUCCAACCGUGGGUAAACUGGGCGCUUGUGUACUAGCAAAGCUGGAGUGCGGGCAGAGGGGGAUGGAAUUCCGCGUGUAGCAGUGAAAUGCGUAGAUAUGCGGAGGAACACCAAUGGCGAAGGCAAUCCCCUGGGCCUGCACUGACGCUCAUGC
rnacentral:rRNA from 1 species